UACGUAGGGUGCAAGCGUUGUCCGGAAUUAUUGGGCGUAAAGAGCUCGUAGGCGGUUUGUCGCGUCUGCUGUGAAAUCCCGAGGCUCAACCUCGGGCUUGCAGUGGGUACGGGCAGACUAGAGUGCGGUAGGGGGAGACUGGAAUUCCUGGUGUAGCGGUGAAAUGCGCAGAUAUCAGGAGGAACACCGGUGGCGAAGGCGGGUCUCUGGGCAGUAACUGACGCUGGAGGAGCGAAAGCGUGGGGAGCGAACAGG
rnacentral:rRNA from 1 species